rnacentral:lncRNA from 1 species
AAAAACACGAUAAUUAUAGGAUUAAAAUAGCAAUGGGAAAAUAUUGGACAAGAAACAUGAAAAAUGUAUGUCAAUUAAAAGAAUGCAAGACCAGGAAUGCUAUGAUGAAAAGUUUCAAAUUACUGUGCAUAAGUGCAUUGGGAUAGAAGUAAUACAGAGCAACUAUAUGUUUAACAAAAGAGAAAAUAGGACUUUCAGGGAACAAAAGAGAAAAUAGGACGUUCAGGGAACAAAAGAGAAAAUAGGACUUUCAGGGAAAAAGCAAAUCAUACUGACCCUCUAAAGAAAUUCUAAGAGGCUCAAUAAACUCAGGGUAUUCAAUUUCUUCAAGUGCCUUGAUAACAUCCUCUGCAUUGAUUGUUUGCCUAUUCGAUUCCUUGCAAAUGUCGUUUGCACUGCACAAAAUUACGAUUCUGAAGUCAGCUCACAACACCUCAUAACCUAUCCAGUAACAACAAUUUUUCACAGAAACAAAAUUGAAAUAAUUGAAUCAACG